UCCGGCGUAGCUCAAUGGUAGAGCGGGUGGCUGUUAACCACUAGGUUGGGGGUUCGAGUCCCUCCGCCGGAG
rnacentral:tRNA from 1 species